rnacentral:rRNA from 1 species
AGUGAACGCUGGCGGUAGGCCUAACACAUGCAAGUCGAACGGCAGCACAGGAGAGCUUGCUCUCUGGGUGGCGAGUGGCGGACGGGUGAGGAAUACAUCGGAAUCUACUCUGUCGUGGGGGAUAACGUAGGGAAACUUACGCUAAUACCGCAUACGACCUACGGGUGAAAACAGGGGACCUUCGGGCCUUGCGCGAUUGAAUGAGCCGAUGUCGGAUUAGCUAGUUGGCGGGGUAAAGGCCCACCAAGGCGACGAUCCGUAGCUGGUCUGAGAGGAUGAUCAGCCACACUGGAACUGAGACACGGUCCAGACUCCUACGGGAGGCAGCAGUGGGGAAUAUUGGACAAUGGGCGCAAGCCUGAUCCAGCCAUACCGCGUGGGUGAAGAAGGCCUUCGGGUUGUAAAGCCCUUUUGUUGGGAAAGAAAUCCAGCUGGCUAAUACCCGGUUGGGAUGACGGUACCCAAAGAAUAAGCACCGGCUAACUUUGUGCCAGCCGCCGCAGUAA